CUACCAGUGUCGUGAGGCAUUGGGAUGGGACGGCAGAAGUCAGCAGAAGUCGUAGUAGGUUUGUCACCGCAAACUGAAGGAC
rfam:Candidatus Entotheonella sp. TSY2 genomic scaffold TSY2_scaffold01428, whole genome shotgun sequence.